rnacentral:rRNA from 1 species
AUUGAACGCUGGCGGCAUGCCUUACACAUGCAAGUCGAACGGUAACAGGUCUUCGGAUGCUGACGAGUGGCGAACGGGUGAGUAAUACAUCGGAACGUGCCUAGUAGUGGGGGAUAACUACUCGAAAGAGUGGCUAAUACCGCAUGAGAUCUACGGAUGAAAGCAGGGGAUCGCAAGACCUUGUGCUACUAGAGCGGCCGAUGGCAGAUUAGGUAGUUGGUGGGAUAAAAGCUUACCAAGCCGACGAUCUGUAGCUGGUCUGAGAGGACGAUCAGCCACACUGGGACUGAGACACGGCCCAGACUCCUACGGGAGGCAGCAGUGGGGAAUUUUGGACAAUGGGCGAAAGCCUGAUCCAGUAAUGCCGCGUGCAGGAUGAAGGCCUUCGGGUUGUAAACUGCUUUUGUACGGAACGAAAAGCCCCGGGUUAAUACCCUGGGGUCAUGAUGGUACCGUAAGAAUAAGCACCGGCUAACUACGUGCCAGCCGCCGCGGUAA